GGAAAUGUAGCAUAAUAGGUCAAUGUAACUGUUUGUCAAACAGUUGGAUGCGGGUUCAAGCCCCGCCAUUUUCG
rfam:Monosiga brevicollis mitochondrion, complete genome.